rnacentral:rRNA from 1 species
AGUGAACGCUGGCGGUAGGCCUAACACAUGCAAGUCGAACGGCAGCACAGUAAGAGCUUGCUCUUACGGGUGGCGAGUGGCGGACGGGUGAGGAAUACAUCGGAAUCUACUUUUUCGUGGGGGAUAACGUAGGGAAACUUACGCUAAUACCGCAUACGACCUACGGGUGAAAGCAGGGGAUCUUCGGACCUUGCGCGAUUGAAUGAGCCGAUGUCGGAUUAGCUGGUUGGCGGGGUAAAGGCCCACCAAGGCGACGAUCCGUAGCUGGUCUGAGAGGAUGAUCAGCGACACUGGAACUGAGACACGGUCCAGACUCCUACGGGAGGCAGCAGUGGGGAAUAUUAGACAAUGGGCGCAAGCCUGAUCCAGCCAUACCGCGUGGGUGAAGAAGGCCUUCGGGUUGUGAAGCCCUUUUGUUGGGAAAGAAAAGCAGCAGGUUAAUACCCCGCUGUUCUGACGGUACCCAAAGAAUAAGCACCGGCUAACUUCGUG